rnacentral:rRNA from 1 species
GGGCAAGUCUGGUGCCAGCAGCCGCGGUAAUUCCAGCUCCAAUAGCGUAUAUUAAAGUUGUUGCAGUUAAAAGCUCGUAGUUUGAGUGGGGCGUCGCGCACUCGUGUGUGGGACGCUGGCGCACGCCGCGUGUGUAUUUGGUUAUGCGUCGCGGCGUGCGGCGUGUUACUUUGACGAAAGUGGAGUGCUCAGGGCAGACGGUGUGUCUGUACAUUUUAGCAUGGGAUAACGGGAGACGGCCUCUCUUUGUUGGUUGGGACGGCUGUCGAGCAUCAAUAGGGACAGUUGGGGGCAUUGGUAUUUGCAAGUCAGAGGUGAAAUUCUUGGAUUUUGCAAAGACCAACCGGUGCGAAAGCAUUUGCCAAGGAUGUUCCCGUUGAUCAAGAACGAAAGUUAGGGGAUCGAAGACGAUUAGAUACCGUCGUAGUCUUAACCGUAAACGAUGCCGACCGGGGAUUGGCCGCACUCGUGAUGAGGCGGCCAGCACCCUGCGAGAAAUCAGAGUUUUUGGGUUCUGGGGGG